AUUGAACGCUGGCGGCAGGCCUAACACAUGCAAGUCGAACGAGUGGCGGACGGGUGAGUACUGUCUGGGAAACUGCCUGAUGGAGGGGUAUAACUACUGGAAACGGUAGCUAAUACCGCAUCCCAUCAGAUGUGCCCAGAUGGGAUUAGCUAGUUGGUGGGGUAACGGCUCACCAAGGCGACGAUCCCUAGCUGGUCUGAGAGGAUGACCAGCCACACGGGAACUGAGACACGGUCCAGACUCCGACGGAAGGCAGCAGUGGGGAAGAUUGCACAAUGGGCGCAAGCCUGAUGCAGCCAUGCCGCGUGUAUGAAGAAGGCCUUCGGGUUGUAAAGUACUUUCAGCGGGGAGGCGUUACCCGGAGAAGAAGCACCGGCUAACUCCGUGCCAGCCGCCGCGGUAAUUC
rnacentral:rRNA from 1 species